UACCAGCACCCCGAGUGGUCGGGACGAUUAUUGGGCCUAAAGCAUCCGUAGCCGGUUCUACAAGUCUUCCGUUAAAUCCACCUGCUUAACAGAUGGGCUGCGGAGGAUACUAUAGAGCUAGGAGGCGGGAGAGGCAAGCGGUACUUAGUGGGUAGGGGUAAAAUCCGUUGAUCCAUUGAAGACCACCAGUGGCGAAGGCGGACUUGGCCAGAAUGCGCUCGACGGUGAGGGAGUGAAAGCUGGGGGAGCAAACCGG
rnacentral:rRNA from 1 species